rnacentral:rRNA from 1 species
UCAGGAUGAACGCUAGCUACAGGCUUAACACAUGCAAGUCGAGGGGCAGCAUCAUUAAAGCUUGCUUUGAUGGAUGGCGACCGGCGCACGGGUGAGUAACACGUAUCCAACCUGCCGACAACACUGGGAUAGCCUUUCGAAAGAAAGAUUAAUACCGGAUGGCAUAGUUUUCCCGCAUGGGAUAAUUAUUAAAGAAUUUCGGUUGUCGAUGGGGAUGCGUUCCAUUAGGCAGUUGGCGGGGUAACGGCCCACCAAACCAACGAUGGAUAGGGGUUCUGAGAGGAAGGUCCCCCACAUUGGAACUGAGACACGGUCCAAACUCCUACGGGAGGCAGCAGUGAGGAAUAUUGGUCAAUGGACGAGAGUCUGAACCAGCCAAGUAGCGUGAAGGAUGACUGCCCUAUGGGUUGUAAACUUCUUUUAUACGGGAAUAAAGUGAACCACGUGUGGCUUUUUGUAUGUACCGUAUGAAUAAGGAUCGGCUAACUCCGUGCCAGCAGCCGCGGUAAUACGGAGGAUCCGAGCGUUAUCCGGAUUUAUUGGGUUUAAAGGGAGCGUAGGCGGGUUGUUAAGUCAGUUGUGAAAGUUUGCGGCUCAACCGUAAAAUUGCAGUUGAUACUGGCGACCUUGAGUGCAACAGAGGUAGGCGGAAUUCGUGGUGUAGCGGUGAAAUGCUUAGAUAUCACGAAGAACUCCGAUUGCGAAGGCAGCUUACUGGAUUGUAACUGACGCUGAUGCUCGAAAGUGUGGGUAUCAAACAGGAUUAGAUACCCUGGUAGUCCACACAGUAAACGAUGAAUACUCGCUGUUGGCGAUAUACGGUCAGCGGCCAAGCGAAAGCAUUAAGUAUUCCACCUGGGGAGUACGCCGGCAACGGUGAAACUCAAAGGAAUUGACGGGGGCCCGCACAAGCGGAGGAACAUGUGGUUUAAUUCGAUGAUACGCGAGGAACCUUACCCGGGCUUAAAUUGCAACUGACUGAACCGGAAACGGUUCUUUCUUCGGACAGUUGUGAAGGUGCUGCAUGGUUGUCGUCAGCUCGUGCCGUGAGGUGUCGGCUUAAGUGCCAUAACGAGCGCAACCCUUAUCGAUAGUUACUAGCAGGUCAUGCUGAGGACUCUAUUGAGACUGCCGUCGUAAGAUGUGAGGAAGGUGGGGAUGACGUCAAAUCAGCACGGCCCUUACGUCCGGGGCUACACACGUGUUACAAUGGGGGGUACAGAAGGCAGCUACACGGCGAUGUGGUGCUAAUCCCUAAAGCCUCUCUCAGUUCGGAUUGGAGUCUGCAACCCGACUCCAUGAAGCUGGAUUCGCUAGUAAUCGCGCAUCAGCCACGGCGCGGUGAAUACGUUCCCGGGCCUUGUACACACCGCCCGUCAAGCCAUGAAAGCCGGGGGUACCAGAAGUACGUAACCGCGAGGAGCGUCCUAGGGUAAAACUGGAA